UACCUCGUCGACUGGAAGGAUUUCCUUCCAGCCGGCGAGGUACAUGCCUCGUCGACUGGAAGGAUUUCCUUCCAGCCAGCAAGGUACAUGUACCUCGUCGGCCGGAAGAAACCCCUUCCAGUCGACGAGGUA
rnacentral:miRNA from 1 species